GACGAACGCUGGCGGCGUGCUUAACACAUGCAAGUCGAACGAAGAGCGACGGAAGCUUGCUUCUAUCAAUCUUAGUGGCGAACGGGUGAGUAACGCGUAAUCAACCUGCCCUUCAGAGGGGGACAACAGUUGGAAACGACUGCUAAUACCGCAUACGAUCUAAUCUCGGCAUCGAGGAUAGAUGAAAGGUGGCCUCUACAUGUAAGCUAUCACUGAAGGAGGGGAUUGCGUCUGAUUAGCUAGUUGGAGGGGUAACGGCCCACCAAGGCGAUGAUCAGUAGCCGGUCUGAGAGGAUGAACGGCCACAUUGGGACUGAGACACGGCCCAGACUCCUACGGGAGGCAGCAGUGGGGAAUCUUCCGCAAUGGACGAAAGUCUGACGGAGCAACGCCGCGUGAGUGAUGACGGCCUUCGGGUUGUAAAGCUCUGUUAAUCGGGACGAAAGGCCUUCUUGCGAACAGUUAGAAG
rnacentral:rRNA from 1 species